AAUUCUGGUCGGGCCUAAUGAAUAUUAAGGACCAACUCCUUAGAGGGGGGCACUUCAAAGUGGGAAAUGGUCAAGCUACCAGAUUCUGGAAGGACAAAUGGGUUAUUUUCAGAUGUACUCACUGGUUAAGAUUCUGGAGACUGCUACAAAAGGAGGAAUCGCAACAACAAAUCCUCAUUGCUUCGCAAGUUUUGGAAGUGGUGGCGAUGGAAGUCUUCGCAAACCAUGGAUGGCGCUCAAAUUCAAGAAUUGAGUAUGACUAGUGUUAGUCAUAGUAUUGUAAUUUAGUUCCUUUGAGUUAGUAUCACUAUUCAUGCAGCAGUUCUUAAUUGUAAUAAUCGACUUGUAUUGGCUGUACGCAUUAUCAUGCUAAAGCCGGAACUCUUGUUUCCAUUAU